UACGUAGGGUGCGAGCGUUAAUCGGAAUUACUGGGCGUAAAGCGUGCGCAGGCGGUUUGUUAAGACAGAUGUGAAAUCCCCGGGCUUAACCUGGGAACUGCAUUUGUGACUGGCAGCUAGAGUAUGGCAGAGGGGGUAGAAUUCCACGGUGUAGCAGUGAAAUGCGUAGAGAUGUGGAGGAAUACCGAUGGCGAAGGCAGCCCCUGGGCCAAUACGUGACGCUCAUGCACGAAAGCGUGGGGAGCAAACAGG
rnacentral:rRNA from 1 species